UGGCGGGUUUAGGGUUCUUGGAGGGAGGGAAUGGGAGAAAUGGAGGGAGAGGCAACGGCGAUGGAGGUGGACGACGGCGCUGUUGAUGUUGAUCCGCCGCGGAAGCUUACGGCGGCGCAAAAAGGCAAGGCGCCGAUGACGCAGGAGCUACAGCGAUCCGGGCCCUGGGUAGAGAAGUAUCGCCCUGCGUCUCUCGCGGACGUUGCAGCGCACAAGGAUAUCAUCGAUACAAUUGACAGGCUCACUGCGGAGAACAAGUUGCCCCAUUUGCUUCUCUACGGGCCUCCGGGGACAGGAAAAACAUCCACGAUUUUGGCUGUGGCACGCAAGCUCUAUGGUCCGCAGUUCCAGAAUAUGAUUUUGGAGCUCAAUGCCUCGGACGAUCGAGGUAUUGAUGUUGUGAGACAGCAGAUACAAGACUUUGCUAGCACGCAGAGUAUCUCCUUUGGUAACCACAGAGAGAAAGCGAAUGUUAAACUUAUAAUCCUGGAUGAAGCAGAUGCCAUGACCAAGGAUGCGCAGUUUUCUCUGCGGAGAAUCAUUGAGAAAUACACGAAGAACACAAGGUUUUGUUUGAUUUGCAACUACGUCAGCAAGAUUAUCCCAGCGCUGCAGUCUCGAUGCACACGUUUUCGUUUUCCUCCUCUUCAAGCACAGCAUGUCAGGGAGCGCCUUGAGUUCGUAAUUGACCAGGAAAGGCUGGAUGUCACGGAAGAUGGCCUGUCUGCCAUCGUGAGACUUAGCAAUGGCGACAUGCGGAAGGCUUUAAAUAUCCUUCAGGUCAGUGAUGGAAACGCUUCUUGUCGCUGCUCAUACUGCUUGUUUAUUCUCCGUAGUCGACGCAAAUGGCCGAGCCGCAUGUCACGGAAGCAGCAGUUUACUCAUGCACAGGAAACCCCACGCCAAAGGAAAUCGAGCAGAUUGCGUCCUGGCUUCUCAACGAGUCAUUCCAGUCGGCUUACAGCAAUAUCGUGCAGCUAAAGACAAGCAAAGGACUGGCGCUGGUGGACGUUGUUAGGGAGCUGCAGCCGUAAGUUCAUCUUUACCAUCAGCAUGCCCGGCAACAUCCGCGUGCCUCUCAUCAAUUGCCUCGCGGACAUCGAGUACAGGCUUGCGUCUGGACCCAACGAGAAGCUCCAACUGGGAGCGCUAGUGAGUGCCUUCACUCACACACGCGUAGCCUUGGUUUCUGCCGCAAGAUAAAUCUGUUCCAGUGGAGGUAGUGGAAGAAAACAUGUUUGCAAGCAAGAGCAACGCUGUUACGUCCUUUCUUGAUCCAGUGUCGAGCACGCGUUUCGCAAUUGUAACUCCGUCACGCACGUCGCUGUGGCUUCCACAGGCCCCGAGCAGGGAAGUCCACUCUAUUGCAUCAUCUU